AUUGAACGCUGGCGGCAUGCCUUACACAUGCAAGUCGAACGGUAACAGGUCUUCGGAUGCUGACGAGUGGCGAACGGGUGAGUAAUACAUCGGAACGUGCCCGAUCGUGGGGGAUAACGGAACGAAAGCUUUGCUAAUACCGCAUACGAUCUACGGAUGAAAGCAGGGGACCGCAAGGCCUUGCGCGGACGGAGCGUCCGAUGGUAGAUUAGGUAGUUGGUGGGAUAAAAGCUUACCAAGCCGACGAUCGGUAGCUGGUCUGAGAGGACGACCAGCCACACUGGGACUGAGACACGGCCCAGACUCCUACGGGAGGCAGCAGUGGGGAAUUUUGGACAAUGGGCGAAAGCCUGAUCCAGCCAUGCCGCGUGCAGGAUGAAGGCCUUCGGGUUGUAAACUGCUUUUGUACGGAACGAAAAGCCUCUUUCUAAUAAAGAGAGGUCAUGACGGUACCGUAAGAAUAAGCACCGGCUAACUACGUGCCAGCAGCCGCCGUAAUAC
rnacentral:rRNA from 1 species